rnacentral:rRNA from 1 species
CCUGAAAAAUAGGCGUAGGGGGUCCUGCCUGCCCAGUGACUGAAAAGUUAAACGGCCGCGGUAUCUUGACCGUGCGAAGGUAGCAUAAUCAUUUGUCUCCUAAAUAGAGACUGGUAUGAAUGGCAAGACGGAGCUUCACUGUCUCCUCCUCUUUGAUCUGAACUUCACAUUCCCGUGAAGAGGCGAGAAUUAGUUCGUAAGACGAGAAGACCCUGUCGAGCUGUAGCUAAAUUUUAAUUGUUGUUUACUAUUAGCCCUAACUAAUUAUAAUAAGAGUAGCAGGCCUAAAGCAUGACAAAUUAAAACAAGCUUUGAUUGGGGCAAUCCCGGAGAAAGAAAAUCCUCCGCUACUAUAUGGUUAUAUUAACCUAAAAUAAAAGAAUUAUUUUUCUUAAAUCAUAAAAAUGAAGAUAUGAUCCACUUACAGUGAUCAAAAGAACAAG